CCUACGGGUGGCAGCAGUGGGGGAUAUUGCACAAUGGGGGAAACCCUGAUGCAGCGACGCCGCGUGUGGGAAGACGGUCUUCUGGAUUGUAAACCACUGUCCCCAGGGACGAAAAUGACGGUACCUGGGGAGGAAGCUCCGGCUAACUACGUGCCAGCAGCCGCGGUAAUACGGAGGGAGCAAGUGUUGUCCGGAAUUACGGGGUGUAAGGGGAGCGUAGGCGGGGAUGCAAGUAGGGGGUCAAAGCUAGGGGCUCAACCGAGAGUCGCACUUGAAACUGGAGCUCUUGAGUGAGGGAGAGGUAGGCGGAAUGCGUGGUGUAGCGGUGAAAUGCAUAGAUAUCAGGAAGAACACCGAUGGCGAAGGCAGCAUGCCGGGUCUAUACUGACGCUGAGGCACGAAAGUGUGGGGAUCGAACAGGAUUAGAUACCCCAGUAGUC
rnacentral:rRNA from 1 species